rnacentral:pre_miRNA from 1 species
AAUAAACGAAUUUUUGAGUUUUUGAUAAAAUUUUUGAUUCUUCGUCUUAUUUGAAUUUUUUUUAUGAUUAAUAUUUUUAUUAUUAUUACAUGAUUAAAAUAUAAAUAGUACUUCAUAUGUGACUAAUUUUUUUUAUUUUUUUAAUAAAAUUUUCAAAUAAGACGGAUGAUCAAACGUCAACUUAGAAAUC